AGAGCGAACGCUGGCGGCAUGCUUAACACAUGCAAGUCGCACGGGCACUUCGGUGUCAGUGGCGGACGGGUGAGUAACGCGUAGGUAUCUAUCCUUGGGUGGGGGACAACGGCUGGAAACGGCUGCUAAUACCGCAUGAUGACCGAGGUCUAAAGGCGCAAGUCGCCUGGGGAGGAGCCUGCGUACGAUUAGCUAGUUGGUGGGGUAACUGCCUACCAAGGCGACGAUCGUUAGCUGGUCUGAGAGGAUGAUCAGCCACAUUGGGACUGAGACACGGCCCAAACUCCUACGGGAGGCAGCAGUGGGGAAUAUUGGACAAUGGGCGAAAGCCUGAUCCAGCAAUGCCGCGUGUGUGAAGAAGGUCUUCGGAUUGUAAAGCACUUUCGACGGGGACGAUGAUGACGGUACCCGUAGAAGAAGCCCCGGCUAACUUCGUGCCAGCAGCCGC
rnacentral:rRNA from 1 species